UGUGGUCUACACUAAAUUUAUAUUUGUAUAUAAACUCUUUUAGGGUUCAUUCCUUGUUAAUGAGAAUUGAUCAAGAUAGUUUCUCUCUCUAGAAUGUUCUUGAGCUCUGCAUCUGCUCUAAAUCUAACAUGGUAUCCGAGCAACAAAGAUCCGAUCAUCUCUUCUUGUUGCUGCUCACAAAUCGCCCAAAUUGUGAAGUGCCCGAUUGAAUGAUGCGAAUGCUGUUGAUACACUUAUGGAGCUCAAUGUUAAACUUUCUGCACAUGUUGGAGAUCCUCUUCUUGAGCCUACGAUGUAUUGCAAACUCGUCGGCUCCCUCAUCUAUCUCAGUAUGACUCGCUCAGAUAUUGCAUAUGAUGUCCUUGUUGUGAGCCAAAUUGUUUCAGAUCCUCGACGACCAUAUCUAUCAGCAGUUCAUCGAAUUUUACGCUGUGUUCGAGGUGAUCCCGACACUUGCCGUUCUACUACAGGAUAUUGUGUAUUCCUUGGGGUCAUCAUUAAUAUCAUGGAAGAGCAAGAAACAAGACACUGUUUCCAAGUCAAGCAUUGAAGCUGAGUAUCGUGCCAUGUCCUUGCUCGUGAGAUUGUUUGGGUUCGUGCUUUCCUCAAUGAGUUUGGUAUCUCUAUUUCAAAUCCCACACCUUUAUAUGCAAAUAACCAAAGUGCAAUUAAGAUUGCAUCUAAUUCAGUUUUUCAUGAGCAGACCAAAAAUAUUGACGUAGGUUGUCAUUAUGUUCGUGAUCGCUAUCUUGAUGGUACAUUAUCUGUCCCUUAUGCUUCUUCUACUGGGCAAACUGUUGAUAUUUUCACCAAAUCUAUUACUCGGAGCCGCCAUAAUUUUCUAAUGGACAAGCUAAUGCUUUACUCAUAUCCGCAUCCCCUUGGUGGGGGGUAAUAAUAUGUAUACAAAAAUAAAAUGUAUAUUUUUCAUAAUUUUCAGUUGUCUUUUAUUGUCAUUGUAUAUUUGUGUAGGGAUAAUGUGGCCUACAAUAAAUUUGACACU